rnacentral:rRNA from 1 species
UCAAGAAUAUUCCCCAAUGGCCGAAAGGCUGAGGGAGCGACGUCGCGUGCAUGAAGAAGCCCUUCGGGGUGUAAAGUGCUUUUAACUGGGACGAAUCAAUGACGGUACCAGUUGAAUAAGGGGCUGCUAAACUCGUGCCAGCAGCAGCGGUAAUACGAGUGCCCCAAGCGUUAUCCGGAUUUAUUGGGCGUAAAGCGUACGUAGGUGGUUUAUCGCAUCUCCUGUUAAAUCCCGAGGCUCAACCUCGGGGCUGCGGGAGAGAUGGCUAAACUAGAGACCGGGAGAGGUAAGUGGAAUUGCUGGUGUAGGGGUUAAAUCCGUUAAUAUCAGCAAGAACACCAAAUGUGAAGACAGCUUACUAGAACGGUUCUGACACUAAGGUACGAAAGCGUGGGGAGCG